AGAGACCGGCGCACGGGUGCGUAACGCGUAUGCAACUUGCCCUACUGAAAAGGAUAGCCCUUCGAAAGGAGGAUUAAUACUUAUAACAGAUUUAAUGGCAUCAUUAGAUUUUGAAAGAUUUAUCGCAGUAGGAUAGGCAUGCGUAAGAUUAGUUAGUUGGUGAGGUAACGGCUCACCAAGACGAUGAUCUUUAGGGGGCCUGAGAGGGUGAACCCCCACACUGGUACUGAGACACGGACCAG
rnacentral:rRNA from 1 species